rnacentral:rRNA from 1 species
CGUAAGGCGCCGAAUGAGUCAUUAAAAAAUUAACAUCAUCCGAUCCCUAGUCGGCAUAGUUUAUGGUUAAGACUACGACGGUAUCUGAUCGUCUUCGAUCCCCUAACUUUCGUUCUUGAUUAAUGAAAACAUCCUUGGCAAAUGCUUUGCAGUAGUCAGUCUUCAAUAAAUCCAAGAAUUUCACCUCUGACAAUUGAAUACCUAAUGCCCCCAAUAUCCCUAUUAAUCAUUACCGUCAAUCCUAGAAACCUAACAAAAUAGGAUCGAACGUCCUAUUUCAUUAUUCCAUGCUAAUGUAUUCAAGCGUAUGCCUGCUUUAAACACUCUAA